rnacentral:rRNA from 1 species
UGGGGAAUUUUCCGCAAUGGGCGAAAGCCUGACGGAGCAAUACCGCGUGAGGGAGGAAGGCUUUUGGGUUGUAAACCUCUUUUCUCGAGGAAGAAGAUCUGACGGUACUUGAGGAAUCAGCAUCGGCUAACUCCGUGCCAGCAGCCGCGGUAAUACGGAGGAUGCAAGCGUUAUCCGGAAUGAUUGGCCGUAAAGCGUCUGCAGGGGGCAAUGCAAGUCUGCAGUUAAAGAGUGGAGCUCAACUCCAUAAGGGCAGUGGUAACUGCAUAACUAGAGUACGUUCGGGGUAGAGGGAAUUCCUGGUGUAGCGGUGAAAUGCGUAGAUAUCAGGAAGAACACCGGUGGCGAAAGCGCUCUACUAGGCCGUAACUGACACUGAGAGACGAAAGCUAAGGGAGCGAAUGGGAUUAGAUACCCGUGUAGUCC